CCCCGUUGCCAGCACUUGCUCCCGGCCUGGGGGGUCUGGAAUCUCCCUUUGCCCCCGCUCCGUUCUCCGGCCGCUGCGGAGAGGAGGAGCCGCUCCGCCGGCUCUGCGGCCGACCGACCGGAAGGCGCCUCGUCCUGUUUCGCGUUCAGAGAAGCGCCUUUCCUAAGGGAGGCCGGCUCAGUGGCGGGGAUGUCGGUGAUGUAAUGAGGGCAUCUACGCAGAGGCUUCCGCGCUGGGGAAGGCUUCUCUGGCUGCCCAGGGCUUGGAAAUCCAACCAGAGCCUCCAGGAGCGUCUCCUGCCCUCCUGCUGGCCCCCAGACCCCAUCGUACAUCCCAGCCUCCUGCCACAGGCAUCUGGUCUUGUGGCUACUUAGAUGGGGGUGGGGGACACGGGCACCGGCCACAAUGCAUCCUCCCCUCCCUGUACCCAGACACACUGGACUUGACGUGUUUCGCUCCCACGGGACAGGCGUGCAUAGGUCCCCACCUCCUUGCCCCAUUCAGCACGUGGCAGAGGUCUCGGCAGUGCCCCUUGUUCCACCACUGUGACUGUGCACACACCUGCAGCUUCAGCGGCCACACACACACCCACUGGCCUACCCCGAGGCCACACUCACCAGAGGCCCCCUGGAUCAGUCUCAGUUUACCAGGAUAAGCCACAGGACACGUGGCCUGAGGGCCAUUGAGGAAGAGGGAACAAGGAAGGGAGGGAGAGAAGGGUGGCCUCUCCACGCCCAGUUUAGGAGGCUCCAUUUGAACAAGGCAGAAGCCAUCCCUCUUUUGUCUUCUCUGGGCACCUGUCCGUCACCACUGCCCUGCUGCACCUUCCCUGGAGGAUGCUCAGGAAUUCGGGACAGCCACAUAGCAUUCAGCCUAAACCCAGGCUCCAGAUCCACCCUGCCUGUGAAUCAUUUGCUCAUUAAUUUGCCAUUAUGACCAUUAUGACCAAGUAUCUCCUGUGGAAUCCAAGCCUCAUCCCCUCCAGAAAGGGAUUUGGGAGUGCUUCCUAAGCCAUGCCCGACACAGAGCCACUUUUUGAGUCAACGCUACUGUUUUUCCUUAUUGAGAACCCACUAUAUGCAGACAGUGUGCUCGGUGCUGGGGCUGCAGAAAUCAAGUUCUCUGCCCUGGAGUGAGCACACCGUCUAGUGGGGGAAGCAAAGCUUGUAAACGAAGACUGCAGCCUAAUGUACUGAGAGCUUUGACAGCCCAGGACAGGGAGAGCUCAGAUCUGGGGUGUGGCCAGGGAAGGUUUCCUGGACCCCUGAGCUCAGUCAUUGGCCCAAAGAAAGCCAGGGUGGUCCCCACUAUCUGCAUCUGCAUCACUUCUGGCAGCCCUGCAUCUGGUCACCUGUGUGCCUCUCUGCCCAGCCACCUGCCUUCCAGCCUCACCUCCAGAUUGCACUGGGCCCAGGAGCAUGUCUGGACACCUGCCUCCAUCAGGCGGCUCAUCACACCCAGCUCCAGAGAGACAGGACUGAGAAUAGCAGAAUGGAAUGAAAAUAAUACCUCCAGAAAAAGGAUCUGAACGUGUGUGUUUGGCUUAUUUCUUGGGACAGGGGCUGUUAUGCUGUGCUUCAGCACGAGCCAGUUAGCGAACAGCACGCACCUCAGUGCUCCGCUGUGAUUGUUUCAGAGUGUCGCGCAGGCCUGACUCUGCAGACCCCACCAGCAGGAACCAUGCCCUCAUCACCUCCUACCUCCAGUACCUGGCACCAGGGCGGUACAAAGUUUUUCAGAUUCCCCAGGCCCCAUGCAGCCCUCCUGAGUCCCUGGUGCCUUGUGGACUGGGGUGGGUGGCCCUGAGCAGGGGGUGGGGGAAGCCUGUGCUCCUGGUGGCUGUGCUGCCCCCGCUCCUGGGGCGGAGGGAGGCUGCGUGCUGGGAAGAGCUGUCACUCCAGUGCUAAUAUUCACUACUUAAAAAAAGAGGCAAGAAAAAAUAUCCCAUUCGCCCUGAAUCUGAGAAGGGCCUUGUUAGGCAGGCAGGAACUGAGCUGUAAUUAUUUCUGCGCUCCUGGGCACCACUAUAAAUAUCAGGCAAGGGAGGCACCUCAAAAGGUUCCGAUGGUUCCAAGGCUUUGGAGAUCUCCUGGUUCCUUCCUGACCCCAUCCUAUGUCACCUUCCCUGGCAGGGGCCUUGGAGGGUGCAGGCACUGCCUCUCCUCCAAUUGGGCAGGGCGUGUCUUCCCCAGCUUCCCUGAGCGUGCCUGCCUGGGAAAUUCUAGCCCACGUAACCUUGCCAGAUGCCCUGAAUCUCUUCAGUGUGUACCUCUGUGAAAUGGACACACAGGAUUCUCCCUGGGAGAGCAUUUGCUAAAAGGCGUGCAGGGGAAUACUAGCCUCCAAGGUGGCCUGUGUUUUUAACAAAAGGUGGGCCAAAUGAGUCCUGUGGUCAGAUGACUUGGGGGAGUGUUUCUUCUGACCCCUACCCAUGUCCUUUGGAAAUUCCCAAGGUGGCACAUGGCAAAUCAUAGUAGAAAGGAAGCAACUCCACACUCCCUUUAGGGGAGGAAGGGAGGUGAAUUCCUCAUC